GCAGUGAUGUGCUGUUUUGGCAUGUACGCUUUCAGAACUGCUGUAUGAUUCUUCCUGCUCGUUCUUUCCCUCUGCCACAGCAAUGUUCCAAUAGUGGCCGUUGUGUCGGCUUGGAACCUGGAGUGAGGACCACAUGGAGCAGAGCCCAGCCACCCCCAAAUGGACAUGGACUGUGACUUGUUUUAAGCUACUGAGGUUUUGAGGUUGCUUGUUACUGUGGCGUAACCUAGCGCAUUCCAUCUGAUAUGGUGACAGUUGACUGCAGACCUAAAGGAAGCAGGGGAGUAAGAUGUGUGGACAUCUGGGAAGGAGCACCUCUGGUAAGGGUAAUAGUGCUGAGGCCUCAAAGGAGGAAUAUGCCGGGAGUUUUAGAGUCCAAAGAUGAGGAGAACGGCAGGAGAAGAUGCAAUCCGAAACAUGAUGGACUUCCAGACCAUAUAGGGCUUUGUGUACCAUGGUCUGUCCCAUGCUACUACGUGCCUUGAAAUGUUAUGUGAAUACCUGUGAGAGAGACACAAAGACUCUCCAGCAUGAGUGAUGUGUGGGCUGCGUCUGAAAGGAUGAGUCACAGUUGCCCAGGGAGAGACAAAGGGAAACCUUGUACUGAAAGGUGUGGAAGCAGGAAAGAACGUGAACUGCUGUGGGAAGAGGAAGGAGGAGAGGAGACUCCAUCCAUCCUGUGAAAUUCGAGGGUGAAUACUUGUUAUUACUAUCGCUAUGAUUAUUAAUUUUAUUUUCAAAAGAGGAAACUGAGGCUUUGGCAGAUUGAGAGAUCUCUCUAAGAGCAACUAGCUGGUCAGCGGCAAAGCCCAAAUUCACAGUUGAGAUUUCUGGAACCCAAGAGGAGACUGAGUGUAAGAAGGAAAGAAGAAAUCAAGGAAACUGAAGUCCUGCCGAGGGACAGGGGGCCCCGGGGGUGAGAGAGCGGGAAGGGAGGAAAACCCUGUGCGCGGCCCCAGCUCCGUCCCUUCUGUUCUUGAGAGGCCGGGACGUCGACCGCCAACUUCCCUCAUCUGAGAACCAGCAAGGGAACCACUUGGAUGACCCUGCCCUGUGGAGGUUAAGAAGAAAAAGGACCUGCCUGCAAGUCUGCCGUCUUCCAAGCGCUGCUAACACCUGCAGGAAGAGAGCUGGACAGAGCCGGGCGAAUGAGAAGGGGGUCUCACCUUGAGCAUCCUCGGUUAUCUCUGACCUUGGGCCAGGGGCCCGGCU